AAUCUCACAGUACUGGACAGUGCUAUUCAUCAGGCAUGCUGUCAGAUUCCUCAAAUCACCUUUCAAAAUAUCAUGGAGUCAAUUCCAAGAAGAAUUGCCACAAUAUUAAAGGCAAAGGGUGGCCCAAUGAAGUACUGAUGGGGUGGUCAUAAUAAUCUUGCCACUCAUAAUAAUAAAUAUCUCACA